AUUGAACGCUGGCGGUAUACUUAACACAUGCAAGUCGAACGAUGAGAAAGAGCUUGCUCUUUCGAUUAGUGGCGGACGGGUGCGUAACGCGUAGGAAUCUACCUAUUAGUGGGGGACAACUUAGGGAAACUUAAGCUAAUACCGCAUACGCCCUACGGGGGAAAGAAGGGGAUCGCAAGACCUCUUGCUAAUAGAUGAGCCUGCGUAGGAUUAGCUAGUUGGUGGGGUAAAAGCUCACCAAGGCGACGAUCCUUAACUGGUUUGAGAGAAUGAUCAGUCACACUGGAACUGAGACACGGUCCAGACUCCUACGGGAGGCAGCAGUGGGGAAUAUUGGACAAUGGGCGAAAGCCUGAUCCAGCAAUACCGCGUGUGUGAAGAAGGCCUUAGGGUUGUAAAGCACUUUCAAUUGGAAGGAAAACCUCGAAGCUAAUACCUUCGAGUUUGACAUUACCUUUAGAAGAAGCACCGGCUAACUCCGUGCCAGCCGCCGCUGUAA
rnacentral:rRNA from 1 species